GUGCUUGCUUCGGCAGCACAUAUACUAGAACUGGAACGAUACACAGAAGAUUAGCAUGGCCCCUGCACAAGUACAACAUGCAAAUUUGUGAAGCGUUCCAUAUUUUU
rnacentral:snRNA from 1 species